rnacentral:rRNA from 1 species
AUUGAACGCUGGCGGCAGGCCUAACACAUGCAAGUCGAACGAGUGGCGGACGGGUGAGUAAUGUCUGGGAAACUGCCCGAUGGAGGGGGAUAACUACUGGAAACGGUAGCUAAUACCACAUACCAUCAGAUGCACCCAGAUGGGAUUAGCUAGUGGGUGGGGUAACGGCUCACCAAGGCGACGAUCCCUAGCUGGUCUGAGAGGAUGACCAGCCACACUGGAACUUAGACACGGUCCGGCUUCCUACGGGAGGCAGCAGUGGGGAAUAUUGCACAAGGGGCGCAAGCCUGAUGCAGCCAUGCGGCGUGUAUGAAGAAGGCCUUCGGGUUGUAAAGUACUUUCAGCGGGGAGGCGUUACCCGCAGAAGAAGCACCGGCUAACUCCGUGCCAGCAGCCGCGGUAAUAC